rnacentral:rRNA from 1 species
UACGUAGGGUGCAAGCGUUAAUCGGAAUUACUGGGCGUAAAGCGUGCGCAGGCGGUUCGCUAAGACCGAUGUGAAAUCCCCGGGCUUAACCUGGGAACUGCAUUGGUGACUGGCGGGCUAGAGUAUGGCAGAGGGGGGGUAGAAUUCCACGUGUAGCAGUGAAAUGCGUAGAGAUGUGGAGGAAUACCGAUGGCGAAGGCAGCCCCCUGGGCCAACUACGUGACGCUCAUGCACGAAAGCGUGGGGAGCGAAACAAGG